CGGCGGACGGGUGAGUAACACGUGGAUAACCUACCUAUAAGACUGGGAUAACUUCGGGAAACCGGAGCUAAUACCGGAUAAUAUAUUGAACCGCAUGGUUCAAUUGUGAAAGACGGUUUUGCUGUCACUUAUAGAUGGAUCCGCGCCGCAUUAGCUAGUUGGUAAGGUAACGGCUUACCAAGGCAACGAUGCGUAGCCGACCUGAGAGGGUGAUCGGCCACACUGGAACUGAGACACGGUCCAGACUCCUACGGGAGGCAGCAGGC
rnacentral:rRNA from 1 species